CUGUGAAUGAAAAAGAGGCGGAGAUGCAGGGACCUGAGCUUGACCUCCCUGUUGAGUCAGAGGAGAACAAUGCAGACCCCUUGACUGAUGACAAUGAUGAUGAUGAUUAUGAUGA